UCCGUUCUCUGGUAGAAGUGUCCAUGCAGAAGGGCAGCAACCUCCCGGGCAGCCAAUUCCAGGCUCCUCAGGAGGGCUGACGCCAGGAGGCGGCCCCAAAGGUUAAUAAAACUUGGUUUUCGAGCGUUUCACUGCCCCAGGAGGGCAGUGGGCCCCAUGUCCAAUUCAUCAAGUGCCUAAUGAGUGGCCUCGGAGGUCCUGGCCCAUCCAUUCCAGAAGCUCUCUCUGCCUCGUAAAGGCUCUUUUGCCUUCGCCAAGUUGUCGGGAUCCUGCCAGCUCCAGGCUUGGGCUGUGUCUGCCCCAACAUGGAUGGGAAGCUAGAAUCUGAGCACCAAGAACUUGAGCUAGUGAUUUUGCCAGCUUCCUGGAUGUGCAUUCUGGUUCUGCACAAAGAGCCACAUUUCCUUCUGGAAUCGGGACCAGGACACAGACAGACAGCAGCAGACACUGGAAACUGUCGUGAGGAUUUGAGACUGUGAAUGAGAAGGCUGGGCCCCUAGCGUAUGCGGGAUGGAUGAUUGGGUCAUGGCCAUCUGUGGGCCAGUUCCCGGAGCCCAGGAACAAACGGGCAGAGGGGCCGCCUGGCAUCACAUCUCGGCCACCUACGAGCGGGGUGACCCCGGAUGUUAGCAGACGUCACUCAAGCAGAAGCUUGGAGGAGCUAUUACCCGUGUUCAUUAGUCCUCGUGUGCCUCUGCUGUCUGUGUGAGCAGGCUGAGCUGCUUGGCUGAGGAAGGAUGGGAGA